GGUGAACGCUGGCGGCGUGCCUAAGACAUGCAAGUCGAGCGGGCCGCGGGGUUUUACUCCGUGGUCAGCGGCGGACGGGUGAGUAACGCGUGGGUGACCUACCCGGAAGAGGGGGACAACCCGGGGAAACUCGGGCUAAUCCCCCAUGUGGACCCGCCCCUUGGGGUGUGUCCAAAGGGCUUUGCCCGCUUCCGGAUGGGCCCGCGUCCCAUCAGCUAGUUGGUGGGGUAAUGGCCCACCAAGGCGACGACGGGUAGCCGGCCUGAGAGGGUGGCCGGCCAGAGGGGCACUGAGAAACGGGCCGCACUCCUACGGGAGGAAGCAGUUAGGAAUCUUCCGCAAUGGGCGCAAGCCUGACGGAGCGACGCCGCGUGGAGGAAGAAGCCCUUCGGGGUGUAAACUCCUGAACCAGGGACGAAACCCCCGACGAGGGGACGGACGGUACCGGGGUAAUAGCGCCGGCCAACUCCGUG
rnacentral:rRNA from 1 species